AACGAACGCUGGCGGCAGGUUUAACACAUGCAAGUCGAACGCCCCGCAAGGGGAGUGGCAGACGGGUGAGUAACGCGUGGGAACAUACCCUUUCCUGCGGAAUAGCUCUGGGAAACUGGAAUUAAUACCGCAUACGCCCUACGGGGGAAAGAUUUAUCGGGGAAGGAUUGGCCCGCGUUGGAUUAGCUAGUUGGUGGGGUAAAGGCCUACCAAGGCGACGAUCCAUAGCUGGUCUGAGAGGAUGAUCAGCCACAUUGGGACUGAGACACGGCCCAAACUCCUACGGGAGGCAGCAGUGGGGAAUAUUGGACAAUGGGCGCAAGCCUGAUCCAGCCAUGCCGCGUGAGUGAUGAAGGCCUUGGGGUUGUAAAGCUCUUUCACCGAUGAAGAUAAUGACGGUAGUCGGAGAAGAAGCCCCGGCUAACUUCGUGCCAGCCGCCGCCGUAAAAC
rnacentral:rRNA from 1 species